CUUGGUGUUAUUUUUUCAACUAAAUUAGGUUGGUCAGAUUAUAUUGAUAGUAUUGUCAGUAAAGGCUACAAAAAACUAGGACUUCUCAAGAAACUUAAAUUUUCAGUGUCUAGAGAUACGUUAUCCAAACUUUACACUUCUUUUAUUCGACCACAACUUGAGUAUGCAUCUGAAGUUUGGUCAGGCUGUUCGCUGGCAGAUAUUGAUAAACUUGAAAAGCUUCAACUGACAGCCGCUAGAAUAGUGACUGGUCUUUCAGUAUUAGCAUCAAGAAAUUCGUUGUAUAUUGAAACAGGCUUGAAUUAUACAACAAAUCAUUUGUCCCCGAUACUGUUCGCAAAUGGAAUUCACUAAGCAACGAAACAAGGGAAAUAACCUCAAUAGGAAUUUUUAAAAGAAAAUUGAGUAAUAAUAAUGAUAAGCCUCCCAAGUAUUUUUCAUAUGGCAAAAGGUAUCUGAACAUUUUACAUACAAAAUUAAGACACAAUUGUAUUUUAAAUAAUGAUCUGUAUAGAUGUAAUAUCAUAAGUAAUCCAAAUUGUUCUUGUGGUAUGAAAGAGGAUAGUCAUCAUUUUUUCUUUGUUUGUAGAAAAUAUUUUGAACCUAGACGCCUAAUGAUGAAUGCACUACUUUUAACUUAUAAUGUAAAAAUGAUUAAUGUGCACAAAUUGCUAUGGGGAGAUGAUUCCUUAUCUUCGCAGGAAAAUGAAAAAAUUUUCGGAA